GCAGCCGCGGUAAUACGUAGGUUGCAAGCGUUGUCCGGAUUUACUGGGUGUAAAGGGCGUGUAGGCGGAGAUGCAAGUUGGGAGUGAAAUCCCGGGGCUCAACCCCGGAACUGCUUCCAAAACUGUAUCCCUUGAGUAUCGGAGAGGCAAGCGGAAUUCCUAGUGUAGCGGUGAAAUGCGUAGAUAUUAGGAGGAACACCAGUGGCGAAGGCGGCUUGCUGGACGACAACUGACGCUGAGGCGCGAAAGCGUGGGGAGCAAACAGGAUUAGAUACCCC
rnacentral:rRNA from 1 species